rnacentral:lncRNA from 1 species
UUAAUAAAGACUCAACGUAAUGGUUAAUGAUAGUUUUAUUGGUAUCACUCGCGUACACUCGUAUAAGCUUAUGUGUGGUUCGGAGGGUUCCGAAGAACUGUCUCGUGUAACAGUAACUGAAUAACUGAACUAACAAAGGCGAAACUUCGCGCCAAGGAAGUUAAAAGUAACUAGGAGUAUAUAAAGUCUAGAUAGACAACUCAACUGAACGUGUAAUACGGUGUAGUACCAAAAGUGUAAAUAUAAUGUCACCAAAUCCCUACACUGAGGUUUCAGGUAGCGCCAUCUAUUGGAUCCGCAAAGAACUAUCCCUAGGGAAUUUUCGAGUGAGUAGCGCGCCUUCAUCGUCCGCUCUCGCAGACCGUACACAUCAGCUGUCAGCAUCCAGCCGAUCGGACAAAUAAGUGUCUUUUAUCGUUAUUAUUAACAAAAGACGAGCUAAUACAAGUAAGUAUCACGCGUAGGCAUUCAAAUAAGCUUCCAUUAAUAUGCAGGUGCGGACGCAGACGCAUCGGCCACCGCAUCGAUCCCGCAGUACUCCGGUUGCCACAAGGAACAGUCCGGAGCACGGAUUUCUCUUUAUCGCGUAAAAAUUAGGUUAUACGCAUAGCGUGACCCAACCGUCCAAGAAGAUAUUGGUUAUCAAGCUCCUCAAAGAAGGAAAAACCGCCCGGCGGUGGCGACAGACCCCCUCAAAGGUCGAAAAAGCCACGGAUUUUUAUCAUGGUGCUGCCGUCACAAGGAGCUACAACAAAAGGGUACGUUCCUCAGACGAUUUUCCAGGAGGAAACCAGCUCAUAGCGGGUCCCAUCCAGCGAAAGACCGUUAACAGUAAUCCAGUGACCCAUCUAUCACGACCGCCCUAGAGAAAGCCGCACAACGCAGCCCGUCCGUCGACCAGAUAUUAAAGAUAAGUAUUAAAUUACGAUAUAAAGCAUAAUUUCGACCAUAAUAACACAUUAUAUUUCUCAAAUGCGACACUAAUACUAACUUAACUGUAAUUGUUUCAGCUAACACCCGAUCAAACAGCGAGAGACAGGCCAACCUCCUCCUCGCUACCCUCAUAGGAAGUUCUUCAUUCCCAAAACGUUGAAAAAAAGCAAAUGCAACGAUAAAUAUGUAAUAUAACCUGUGUACGAGAUCCAACUUUAGUGUUCGGAUUUUGGCACUGAUUGCUGAUUUCGCUCGGAAGAAAACGUGCGACGUGAAAAGUGACCACUCGGUGAUCACGGCAAGGACUGGGGCGUGUGACAGGAGUUCACUAAUUCCGCGGAAUGUUUGUUUAACAAGUUUAUUGUAACACAGUCAAAUAAAAUGAACAAAAAGUCAGUCACGGAUUAUCUCGAGAGAACGCGAAUCUGCGUGAAUGUAUCGUCCGUCGAAAAUAUCGAGCGUAGAUCGUGAACGCGCGUAUCUGCUAAUGUGGAAUAACGCGACGUUGUUCCACGGAUGCACUCCGAACUCAAUCUCGAGAAAUUCGAACGAUUUAACGUGCGGCCGAACUUGAGCGAAAUAGAUGAGUACUGUCUGCGACAACGAUUCGUUAGCGAACGAGGCUGAAUCUUAUCUGGCUUUGUUCUCGAUGAGCGAUCGACAGCGACGUCUCUUGUUUGUCGCCUUCGGUGGAGAAAAAUAGGCAUACGCGAUCAAACAAGCGAUCUCUUUCGUCUCUGUCCAUCGCACGUGAUGAUUUAAGCCGUGCGAGCGAGAUCGUCGGGAUUCGCGCCCGUACGAGAUCAAUUUUCGAUCGCGAACGACGCAAAUAUUGUGAGAUCCGGAUAGCGCGCGACAAACAUCUGGUGCUCGAUUUGCCACGCAAGACUCGACGAAAUUUUAAUCGAAGUCUAAUUACAAAAAUGGUUUGACCGUGGUCCGAAUCCCGAACAAUCUGCAUAAUCAAAUAACUAUAGACAAAAUACCUUGCUACUAUUAUCAUUAAGAAAAUAAAAUAACUAUUACUAUUAUUAUACCUGUUACUAUGUUUGAGGAUGAGCGGAAUGAAUAUAGUUUUGAAGAGAAUUUUAGUAAAAUCCUAAUUUCUCACGAAAUAAUCUCAGUCCUUCGCAAGGACUCAGUACAUACGGUAUUUGUCUGAGCAGGGGAAAAUAUUUUUCUCUAAUGUUCGGCAAACAUCGGUCGAAGCGGCUCGCGUUGCCAUAUAUGGGCAUGUCGAAUCGUCGUUCGAGCAACUCGGGCGAAUAACAAGAUAGUUUUGAAGACAAAAUGAGGAAAAUACUGCGGCGAAACCGAGUCGGUCGUCUCACGAUUCUAGUCUAAGAAAGUCUUCUUCUCUAGCUCGUAAUUUUCUCUUUGUUCGGUUCACCUCGCGAGUGCCGUGUAACCGAGUCUCAUUCGAAUGACCAUUCGACGCCUGGUUUUACUAAAUCGGGUUCUCUGCGUUAACCAAUAUUAAACUUGUAAGGAACUGAAGUUCCAGUCCUAAUCUGUGACGAUCGGUCUGAGAGUUCCCACGUUACUAUACGCGUCAGGAUAUCCGCCUGACGUACGGAUGAGAAUACACGCGACAAGAUUUCCGCCUGACUCCCGUCAGAGAUUAAUCGCGGCAAGAUCUCCGCCUGUUCAGGUCUGAGUACACCCAUCUGAAGCUCUCUUUAACUGCGCUGAGUCGACCACGUCACCCGUUAGAAGCUCUCGUCCGUGACCUAAUUUCGUUGAGACGAUAAAUACAUUUUCAAUUUUUUUGUGUGUUGUGUCUAAUCCUGCCGUCAAAUCCCUAUCGAAGACUUCCGAGUCUCGUGUGCACGAUUCUCGCGCUCAGCGCUGGGCGUAGUCAGUGAAUCUCGAACAUACUAUAAUCAAUAUUGCGACAAUACUAUUACAAUCAUUAUUAAAACCAAAUCCAAUUGCAUAAAACUGAGAAGAACUUCCGCCGUUAAAAUAAUCCUCUUCUGAAUAUUUCAGAUAACCGAAACAAGACCCGCAAAGCCUCCAUCUCAACUUCCAUAAAGGGAAGGAGAACAAAGAAGGAAAAAA